AACGAACGCUGGCGGCAUGCCUAACACAUGCAAGUCGAACGAGACGUUCGGGUCUAGUGGCGCACGGGUGCGUAACGCGUGGGAACCUACCCUUAGGUUCGGAAUAACUCCCCGAAAGGUGUGCUAAUACCGGAUAAUGUCUUCGGACCAAAGAUUUAUCGCCUUUGGAUGGGCCCGCGUUGGAUUCGCUGGUUGGUAGGGUACAAGCCUACCAAGGCGACGAUCCAUAGCUGGUCUGAGAGGAUGAUCAGCCACACUGGGGCUGCGACACGGCCCAGACUCCUACGGGAGGCAGCAGUGGGGAAUAUUGGACAAUGGGCGAAAGCCUAAUCCAGCAAUGCCGCGUGAGUGAUGAAUGCCUUAGGGUUGUAAAGCUCUUUUACCCGGGACGAUAAUGACAGUACCGGGAGAAUAAGCUCCGGCUAACUCCGUG
rnacentral:rRNA from 1 species